AUCUAAUUUGAAAACCUAAUUUGAAAACGAACCCUGUAUCGAUUUGAAAACCUAAUCUAAUCGAAAACAAACACAAACGAAGACGAAAGCCCCAAAUCCCAAAUCGUCUUUGAACCCUGACGAAAACCCUAAUUUCAAAUCGAUCCCCAAUUCGAUUUGUUAAUCAAAACCGAACACAAAAUUGACAGGAAAACAACAUCGAACAAGUAGCAAUCCAUAAAUCGACGGCUAAACAACUCGGAGAAUCGAUUUUCGUAUUGAUUUACCUAAGAACAAAGACGAUCCCGAGUCGCCAAAUAAUCGCCGUCGGUGGUUUUUUUUUUAAUUCUCUCGCUUCGAAUGACUCUUUUUUUCACUAAACGAAACUAGGGGAAAUGCACGACUAUUUCCACUUGCCACGUACUUUAGAGCUCACCC
rnacentral:lncRNA from 1 species